CCUCCUUUCUAAGGAAAGUAUAGAAUAUAAAUUGCCGCCGUCUUUGAAUCUCUUCUUCUUAAAAUUUAAGUUAUAGUUUGCUACAGCUAAAGGCGCGUAGCUCAGUUGGUUAGAGCGCACGACUGAUAAUCGUGAGGUCGGCAGUUCAAAUCUGCCCGUGCCUACCACUGUAUAUAACAAUUUUGAGAUAAUAUUAAAAAGUUGAGAAAAGUAUUGACUGAAUGUCAAUCUGAUUGAAAUAGUUGGUGAAGAUGAUCCCAAAUAAUAGGGCAAUAUAUUUAAUUAUGUUGUCCAGCUUACGGAUUGUACUUAAAAUUACAUUUCAAGAUUGUGUAAUUUUUAAGGUAGUAAUGGUUGUCUGACCGGUUACUACUUUCAUGUACGGUCCGAUCAAGCGUCUUGAANAGCAUUUGGUGGAUGCCUUGGUACAGAGAGGCGAUGAAGGACGUGACACGCUGCGAUAAGCUGUGGGGAGCCGUGAGUAGGCUUUGAUCCGCAAAUUCCGAAUGGGGAAACCAAGGGCGAAUCUG
rnacentral:misc_RNA from 1 species